UCCUCGUGCGGCGGCCGCGCUAUAGGAGCGAGCGCCGCGGACCGCAGGGCCAGCCGAACGCCGCCGCCGCCGCCGCCGCCACACGCCUCCCGCCGCCGCCGCCCGCCGCCGCCGCCCGCCUCCCGCAGCCUCCGCGCCGCCGCCGCCGCCGCCCAGCGAGCCCAGCCCGGCGCCCCAACCGCCGCCGCCCCUGGCCGGCCCGUCUGCGCGCGGGCGAGCGGCCGCCGCCCCCGGCCGGACCCUGAACCUCGCCUUCUCGCGCCUCGGCCGCCCGCGCCUCCUCGGCUGCCUGCCCGGCAUGAAGACCAAGUUCUGCAACGGGGGCGAGGCGGAGCCCUCGCCGCUCGGGCUGCUGCUGAGCUGCGGCAGCGGCAGCGCGACGCCGGCGCCGGGCGUGGGGCAGCAGCGCGACGCCGCCAGCGACCUGGACUCCAAGCAGCUGGGCGGCCGGCAGCCCCCGGCGCUGCCCCCGCCGCCGCCGCCGCCCGCCGACGAGCAGCCGGAGCCGCGGACGCGCCGCAGGGCCUACCUGUGGUGCAAGGAGUUCCUGCCCGGCGCCUGGCGCGGCCUCCGCGAGGACCAGUUUCUCAUCAGCAUCAUCAGGGGCGGCCUCAGUAACAUGCUGUUCCUGUGCUCCUUACCGGACACGGUGGCCUCCGUCGGGGACGAGCCCCGGAAAGUGCUCCUCCGCCUGUACGGCGCGAUCUUAAAGAUGGUAUUUUUGAUAAAGCUGUGGAAUGGAAAGAGGUCCUGUAAUAAGGAGGGAUCCGAACAAGCUCAGAAUGAAAAUGAAUUUCAAGGCACUGAGGCCAUGGUUCUGGAGAGCGUCAUGUUCGCCAUUCUCGCAGAGCGGUCGCUCGGGCCCAAGCUCUAUGGCAUCUUUCCGCAAGGCCGCCUGGAGCAGUUCAUUCCGAGCCGACGAUUAGAGACUGAAGAAUUAAGUUUGCCAAAUAUUUCUGCAGAAAUAGCUGAGAAAAUGGCCACGUUUCAUGGUAUGAAGAUGCCAUUCAAUAAGGAACCGAAAUGGCUUUUUGGCACAAUGGAAAAGUACCUGAAUCAAGUGCUGAGGAUUAAAUUCACCGAGGGAGCCAAGGUGAAGCAGCUGCACAAAUUCCUCAGUUACAACCUGCCCUUGGAGCUGGAGAACCUGAGAUCAUUACUUGAAUCCACUCCAUCUCCAGUUGUAUUUUGUCAUAAUGACUGUCAAGAAGGUAACAUCUUACUGCUAGAAGCGGGAGAGAAUUCGGAAGAGCAGAAACUGAUGCUCAUCGACUUUGAAUACAGCAGUUAUAAUUACAGCUCCAUUUUAUUUCCAGUUACUUGGCUGCAUUCCCACAUGAGUUUGAAAACCUCAGUAAUGAAGAAAAGUUCAUUAGAGAAGAAGAAAUGCUGGUUGAAGUCAAUAGGUUUGCCCUGGCCUCCCACUUCUUCUGGGCGCUGUGGUCCAUCGUGCAGGCCAAGAUCUCCUCCAUCGAGUUUGGCUACAUGGACUACGCCCAGGCGAGGUUUGACGCCUAUUUCCACCAGAAGAGGAAGCUGGGGGUGUGACCACGGGAGGACUCCUGAGACUCCGUCCUGGAUGCGUGGGGUGGCCGCGCCACGGGGCCUCCGCUCCGACUGCUGUCCCUGCAGCGAGAAGCUGGGCUCUGCUGCCGCACGCAGAUCUGUAUGAUACAAAGACUGUGUUAAACUUGACAACAUUUAUUUCUAUCUGUUUACGACUCGCUAGGCCUCUGACGAGCUCGGCAGCGGAAACAGUUGAGUAGUGCAAUAGGAUAGCUCAGAUUCCUGUAGGCAGGCCCGCCUGCGCGGACGUGCAGCAGCCGCAGGCCCCGCCACUGCUGCUGCUUUACGGGACUGACCCCGCUGGGAGCCCUGCGCGGCUCUAGGUAACAGCGUGUAGACACCGCUCCCUCCUGAGGUGACGGGGACAGGACAGACGUGGCCUGCCAGUCUCCGGAGCUGUUCCUCCACCCUUCGGUCCGAAUGGCUGAAGCGCAAGCAGCAGCAUGCACGCGGCUGCGCCAGCUGCCUCUCCGUGCGAUGGAUGUGGCUCCUAGGACUGUAGUGCGUUCAGUUGUACGGACAGAUCUCUCCCCACCUGGGGUAGCUCUGCCUCGCCCUCCUCACCGAAUGUUGCUUUAUUAACCCUGCCUCGAAGGGCAAGGCGGGCGAGGGCACCGUGGGGGC